UUGACCUCGGAUCAGGUAGGGAUACCCGCUGAACUUAAGCAUAUCAAUAAGCGGAGGAAAAGAAACCAACAGGGAUUGCCUCAGUAACGGCGAGUGAAGCGGCAACAGCUCAAAUUUGAAAUCUGCCUCUAGGCCGAGUUGUAAUUUGUAGAAGAUGCUUCGGGUGUGGCACCGGUCUAAGUUCCUUGGAACAGGACGUCAUAGAGGGUGAGAAUCCCGUACGUGACUGGCUGCCUUCGCUCAUGUGAAGCUCUUUCGACGAGUCGAGUUGUUUGGGAAUGCAGCUCAAAAUGGGUGGUAUAUUUCAUCUAAAGCUAAAUAUUGGCCAGAGACCGAUAGCGCACAAGUAGAGUGAUCGAAAGAUGAAAAGCACUUUGGAAAGAGAGUUAAACAGUACGUGAAAUUGUUGAAAGGGGAGCGCUUGCAACUAGACUUGCGCGCCGUCGAUCAUCCGAGGUUUUCCCCGGUGCACUCGGCGGUGCUCAGGCCAGCAUCGGUUUCGGUGGUUGGAUAAAGGCCUUGGGAAUGUGGCUCCUCUAGGAGUGUUAUAGCCCUCGGUGCAAUGCAGCCUACCGGGACCGAGGACCGCGCUCGGCUAGGAUGCUGCGUA
rnacentral:rRNA from 1 species